rnacentral:rRNA from 1 species
GUGUCAGCAGCCGCGGUAAAACGUAGGUGGCGAGCGUUAUCCGGAUUUACUGGGCGUAAAGGGUGUGCAGGCGGGAUCUCAAGUGGUGCAUGAAAGCUCUCGGCUUAACCGAGAAACGGUGUGCCAGACUGAGAACCUAGAGGGUGGGAGAGGGACGUGGAAUUCCGGGUGUAGUGGUAAAAUGCGUAGAGAUCCGGAGGAACACCAGAGGCGAAGGCGGCGUCCUGGCCCACAACUGACGCUCAUACACGACAGCAUGGGGAGCGAACGGGAUUAGAAACCCCCGUAGUCC